CGCCGCCGCCGCCGCCAGACAAGAAGAAGAGGAAGCAGCUGUCCAAGACCUGUACAAUCCUGUAGCGCCAGUCACGCGGUCGCUGCCUAAGCUCGACAGCCGCGUAUGCUCUAAGUCUACUGAAAGGAACAUGAAGCCGGAAAGCACCUCUGGCGCCGGAGACUACGAGUCAACUGCCCACACAUUGGCUUACACCAGCGCAGACCAGUGGCACUGGAUGAGCUGCGUACGCUUCCAUUAAAGGGAGAAACACCCAAGAACGCUCCAGUGAUCCAGGACCAAGCCAACAGCAACCAUGGCUUCCUGGAAUCCCUGGCACGAGGGGAGCUGUGUAUGUGGCGUCCAGCACUGGUUCCACGCUGGCUUUCUUCAGGUGAUCGUUGUGUUGGGAACGGAUUUACAUGUCGCCGACGUCGUUCCCCGGCUACUCCGGCUGCUCUCAAAAAGCGCCACAAAAGGUGCGGUCACGCUAGGGAAUGCCUCGGACAGCCUUGACAUCACACUAUGACGGGUGGCUUUGUACUGUUCGUCUGUUUGUUUCUUGAGCGAAUUCAUGUUAUCCGCAGUUGUCUUGGCAUUGCUUGCCAUUAGCUGAUCAUAUUGUGUCCCAUGGAAGCCGUUUACACAUAACCACUGACAUGGCUGGUUGCAUUAUAAUCAUCCGGUUGCGUGAGGAAACAGGACUCUGACGAGCUUUGCCUGUUUCCCGCGCUUUUUCAUUCAUAAAACAGAAAACCGAUCUGCUAGCACACAGAAAGCGGUGAGAUGCAGUUACUAUUUGGCGAGAUACCUUGUUACGUUAAUGUUAUUUAGUCUCCAAAACGCAUCACCUUAAGAAGCGAUUAGGAGUGAUGAUGGCAGAAGUGUUAUUGGAUAGAUAUUUAGUGGGACCGAUUUGUCUCAAAUGGGAUGUUGCGAUGUUUCCGAACAUUCCGUCCCACCUGACUGUUUCCGUCCAAAGGUGUCUUCUUGUGAACACCACCAUCUCACGGUGUCGACCUAGUUAUUGGCAGUAGAAAUCGUGUCGUCGAUGUCAUUGAACUGCAAAGCCGGUGAUACUUAUAACAUGUACAAAACUGGACCACUUGUAAAGCGGAGCGUACUUGGUAAGCGUGUGCAUUUGUGAUGUCUGCUAGAGCCUAGUAGCGAUGUUCUCCGUUGCAGUAAUUCGCCACGAAUAGAAAUGUUUCGUUGGGGAUGUGUACGGGUCGUGUGAGACAUACCCAGUGUAACUCCACUUUUACAUGUAAAUUGUGCAGUAGACAUCACGUUCCUUUUAUGACAACUUGAUUUGCCGGUGGCAUUUGGUCCUUUACAAACAAAACUACGGUGGUGUUUUUGUGGUGUCAAGUUUCAGUCAGGGUUACCGUAAGUUUUGCGGAUUGUUAUCGGCAUUAACACACUCGCUCCAGCUGCACGCACCGGAGAUAAACCGAGGCUUAAGUCUAAAAGCUGUAGCUGAAUGUUUUUCACUGAACUUGUCGCGAUUUUCUCAGUGUAUCUUGUGCGAAUACAGAGAUCAUCCAUCUGA